rnacentral:rRNA from 1 species
UACGUAGGGCGCAAGCGUUGUCCGGAAUUAUUGGGCGUAAAGAGCUCGUAGGCGGCUUGUCACGUCGGGUGUGAAAGCCCGGGGCUUAACCCCGGGUCUGCAUUCGAUACGGGCUAGCUAGAGUGUGGUAGGGGAGAUCGGAAUUCCUGGUGUAGCGGUGAAAUGCGCAGAUAUCAGGAGGAACACCAAUGGCGAAGGCAGCUCGCUGGGACGGUACUGACGCUGAGGCGCGAAAGCGUGGGGAGCAAACAGG